AAGCGGUUCAGCUACUUCUCCUCUCUGAGCCCCAUGGCGCGCAAGAUCAUGGCGGAGAAGGAGCGGAUCCGCGAGC
ensembl:miRNA gga-mir-12260 gga-mir-12260